rnacentral:lncRNA from 1 species
CAUAUAGUUUCUCUAGUGUGAGAAACUGAAACUGUAAAUAAGGACUUAAAAGUACAAUAGAUAAUGUGAAAUAGGAAGAAAAGGGGCAAAGGGGAAGGGGAAGUGGGAGGGAUAGAGAAAAGGAAAAAAGGGAAUGGAAUUAAUAUGAGAAAAUGAAAAAAUGGAAACAAAGUCUUUGUAAAUAGGGAGGGAUGGAGGGGUUGAAGAGAGGGCAGGGGAAUGGGGAAAAAAUAAGAACCUAGGGAGAUUAUGUAAAGGUGCAGAUUUCCAGUGCUGAAUGUCAUUAUAUUAUAUACCUAAAAUGUACCAAUCAAAUUAAAAAAAGAAAUAGUGCAACAAUGCAAGGUCUGGAUAUGGAUCAAUAACUUAAAGGGAAAAAAAACAAAACCCAAAAUAAAUGGAACGAUGGAAGAAAGAUAAGAGUGGCAACUAAUGUGAAACAGUAAAUGAUAGAGAAAAGUCAAUAAAAGCAAAAGUUAGCUCUUUAGAAGAUCAAAAAAGUUGCCGAGCAUGAUGGCACAUGCCUGUAAUCCCAGCACUCGGGAGGCUAAGGCAAGAGGAUCUCCAUGAGUUUGAGGUCAGCCUCAGCUACAUAGUUCAAAGUGAGCCUGAACUACAUUUUGAGACCCUAUCUCAAACAAAACAAAACAAGGAAGGGCCUGCCUGCUGCGCAAGCGCAAGGACCCAAGUUCAAUCCCUGGUACCAAAAAGCCCCCCCCAAAAACAACAACAAAAAAGGAAAAACAGAAGAUCAACAAAGUUAACAGACAAGAAGAAAAGAGUUAGGCAUUGUGGUGCAUGCCUGUGAUCCCAGGUACUCAGGAGGCUGAGGUAGGAGGAUCAUAAAUUCAACCCCAGCCUGGGCAAUUUAGCAAGACCUGAGUUCAAUACCUAGUACUGAAAAACAAGGUUAGGGAGGGGCUCAAUCUCCAGUACUGCAAAAACAAAGGAACAAAAUAUACAAAAAUCUAGCUGUAUUUAUGUAUACUAGGAAGAAAUCCAAAAUGAAACUAAGCAAAUAAUUUCAUUGACCACAGCACCAAAAACAAAAAGAUUUAGGAAUAAUUUCACAAAAUAAAUCCAAAGGUAUACACUGACAAUUAUAAAACACUGCUUAAUUUAAAAAAUAAAGGAAGAGACAAAUGAUAUCCAUGGAUUGGAAUGCUCAGUGGUUCCGCCACCUGCCUCGCAAGCUCAGAGUUCCGAGUUCGAUCCUUGGUACCAAAAAAAUAAAAAAUAAAUAAAUAAAUAAAAAUGAGCCAAAAAUGUGAAUAGUCAUUUCACCAAAGAAGUUAGCUAUACGAAUGGCUAAUAAACACAUGAGCAGAUGUUCAGCAUCAUUAGUCAUUAGGGAAAUGUAAAUGGGAGCCACAUUGAGAAUCCUUACUAGAAUGGCUAUCAUCAGAACUCACAUGUAUUCCUGGUGGCAAAAUAAAGUGAUAUAGGCAAUGCGGAAGACCAUUUGGCAAUUUCUUUAAAAGUUUAACUUACAAAGCCAGCAAUUUCAUUCCUAAGUAUACAAGAGAAAUGAAAACAUGUUCCACAAAGACUUGUGAGUGUUCAUAUCAGUAGCCAAAAUUGGGAAACAAUCCAAAUGUUUAUCAAUAGGUGAGUAGAGGGUAAGUAAAAUGUGAUAUUAUCCACACAUUAGUAGUCCACGAUAAGAAAUAAUAAAUUACCUAUAAAUGUCAUGAUAUAGAACUUUAUACUCUGUGAAAGAAGCUAGACAAAAGAAGACUACAUACAUUAUGAUGGUGGUGGUGGGGGGGGCUUUGCACUGAGCUACACUCCCAGCACUUCCUAUUUUUGAGACAGGAUCUUGCUAAAUUACCCAGGCUGGGCUUGAAUUUGUGAUCCUCCUCCCUCAGCUUCCCAGGGGGCUGGUACUACAGGUGUGCACCGCUGCACCCAGUUUUAUUUUAUUCUUUUUAUAUAAACUUUCACAAAAGGCAAAUCUAUAGCUACAGAAAGCAGAUAAAUUAUUACCUGGGG